rnacentral:lncRNA from 1 species
AAGUUGACCUGUGGGACUUCCUUUUAGCCUCCCUGAACUUCAUUUGAAGGCCAGGGUCCCAUUGCACAGCCAGAGAGUUGUGUCUCCUUUGAGCCAGACCUGCCUUGUUCCUUUGACCAAGGAAGAGAUGAGGAGGAAGGGGAGCACUCCUUUUUUUUUCCUUGCCCAGAUACAGAUGAGAAAUGAAAGACCAGGCCUUGGGUAAUUGAAAGACCUCGUGCUAAGAUUGUUGAGCAAUCAGGAGAGCACCUACACUCCCAAACGCUACACCAGAGAGUCACACAUUUUGUCCAAAAGAAACUUAACAGAGUUCAGAAACUUUACAUCAAUUUGUUCUCCCAGAUAAAUCACCCAGUAUUCCAGGGGCAAAUGAUGUCACUCCUCUAAGUAAUGGCUUCAUCUGCAUAGCAAGGUUAAUCCUCAGAGAUAUCACUUGAUGGUGAUGCUGCUUUAAAAAAAUUAUCAUUAAAUAUGAUAGCAGAGUUAGAUAUGUCUUCUUGCUUGGAAUGAAAAGGCCUGAGUCCAUGAGAGUUAAAGAGGUGUCAUGCACACUUAUGGGCAAGAAACAGUAGAGUGGUAGCCAUGGGUACUGGUGAGUGCUGUGAGUGCACUAGACCAGAGAACAAACUUGGGCUGAAGCCUGGGGGGCUGUUGAGUGAUGGGUUAAAGACUUCUCAUUUCCUGUAGUUUAUUGAAAGAAGUAGAGAAGACAACUAGAGAGGAAGAUCAUGCAUCUUUCUUCCAUCCCUGGAUGCCCCUCUCACCCAUUACCAUCAUGCUUGUCUCUCAAAUACACUUGAACUGUGCAAAACUAGGCAAAAAUACACGCCCAAUCUCUUAGCAACCCAUCUUUACUCAAAAGGAAGCAAUACAGAGUUGACUAUAGCACCCCACAGUGCUCAGUUAAGUGGGGGUUGCUGCUGCUGCAUGAUGCUUGGGCUUCCUUCAUUAUACCAACGCCUGUGCCAUUGGGGUGGGGCUUGGUGACUUUCAUGGGUUAUCACCCUAUCCAAGGCAUAGCCUAGCCCCUAAGCCAAGAAACACAUCAACUUCCUGGAACUCAGAGAGAGAGCUACCAUCUCUGCUCUCUCUGCCUUCAGAGUGCACACAAGGCCAUCCUGGUUAGCAGACACAGGUUUGCCUUAGACUUGGGGGUUGGCAGUCUUGGAUUUGGUGGAACAUCUGGUCAGGUUAGGUUCUGUCUCCAGCCUAGACCAUCCUUUAGAUGUUUUUUGUGGCUUGUCAAGUGCUACAGCCAUUCUCAUAUCUGAGCUUCUACUCUUUUUAGCUUGCAUCUUGUUCUGGAUUGGCCUGAUCUGGUUAGGUCAGCGCUCUCCUCACACAUCCCUGACAAACCAUCCCUUGUAUUUGUGCAUAUUAUAGGGGCUUGCGCUGUAGCCUUUUCAGUCAAGUAUUAUAAAAGGCCAAGGCAUCUCAACUUACUCCGUAUUUCAUGGGAGCCCGAGGACAGAUUUUUUAGAUUUCCUCUUCAGAAGCUGGGGUACCACCCUUUACUUCUAGACCAUCCUUGCUUUUACCUUUCAGCUCUGUGGCUAUCUCCGUAGACCUGGAGACAGGCUCCUUAAUCUUCUCUUUCUGGCUUUACAUAGCAUUGUCCCUUAUCUAGGGGGGUCGGAGGUGGGGCUGGCCUCCCCCUGCCCUUCCUCCUCCCGCAGAGACCUCUGCCUUCUGUAAGAUAUCUCGCCUCUGACUUUGCACAAGACUUCUGGGAAGGAACAUCCAGUAUUCAGCAUCUCAGACCCACCCCCAAAUGCUAUAGAAAGUCUUUGUCACAUUUUUCUCUUAUAGGACAUAACUAGAAAUAACCCCACCAUCCCUCCAUUCUUCUGAGGUAGUGGUGAUGGAGGUAAGAAAGAGGUAUCUUGAAGUUCCUUUUGAAAGACCGCCUUGUAUAUUUCUAUCCUGUAAGCUUUGUGGCUCCGAUAGACCUAGUGGAACUCACCUAGGGAGGUGGCUCUUGUGAUCCAGCUCACCCAAGUCACUCCCAUCCAGCGCUAGAGAUGCAGCUUUCAGAGCCACUCUCAGCCUGACCCUGUGCUGGGAGCGCGUCCUUCCCCCUCAGUCCUUUCUGCUUAUGGGGAAGCUACCUGGGCCUGCUUGCGUCCUUGAGUGUCUAAUGGAAAGAGAAGGAACUGGGUCUAAAAUAAUUUUAAUGCGAUUUUUAGGUUCUGGAAAUUUUUAAUUCCGAUACUUGUCUCCCACUCAAGCAUACUUAUAGUUGACUCCAUGUAUUUGGAGAUCUUGACAGU